CAUUAUCUGCCCUGGCUAUUUUAGCCUUUGGAGGUUCACAUGUGAUUGAGGGACAGAUGAGCACAGGCAAAGAAUGUCAAACGUGUGGAGAAUCUGAUCAUUCCCAUAGGAGCGUUGGAUUCCCGGCCGGUUCUUCACGGCGUUCUUCAGCUCAUGGCACUGGGCCAGUGGUGUUGGGGUUAGCAAGAGGCAUCGUAUUUUAUAUCGCUCUGCAGACAGCGGAUUGUACAUCUUAACUGAAAUGAAAAGGCAUGCUUAGUCCUCUGAAAGGUACGUCGUCUUUGCUGCCGUCUGAUUAGUUAACUAGUACUUUUCUUGGAAUUUUAAAUUAAGUGCUAGAGGAGAGAAAGCAUUCAUAAAUCCAAGCAAUGUUGGUGGAAAAACGCAGUGCAGUUACUACACAUAUUACUUUGGAAAUGAACAGAAAAACGAAUUCCUGCUGUGGGCUGCAGCUUCAGUCACGUUGCUGUGCUCAGCUCAGAUUUACAACAUGUUUCAGUAUCUGCUCUAUAUCCCAAGUGGCGCUGAGAUCAGAAAGCGGCGCUAUGCCGUAAAUAUCUGCGCUGGCUAUCCAACGUGCUGUUUGUUGAUGCGGUUUCCAUGGGGAGAGGACCCAGCUGAGGCGAGAGUGUGUCACACAGCAGCAGGCGAGGGCUCUAUGUACUGACCGUCUCCACAAAAUGGCCGCGACAGGCACCGGAGGACGCGAGGAGAAUCUCCAACUACCGGCGACAGCCAGGCUUUUGACACGCUGCCAGAAAGACACGACAUGUUUAUUUGGAAGCCAGCACACCAUGAACAACCCGUGUAACGUUUUAAAGACGCAAAGCGACUUUCUCAGGGUGAAGCUGAUGAGUUACUUCACACCGGGUUGCCUGCCGCGUUGAUGGGGUGGUGUGGAGACUCGGUGGGUAGCACUGUUGCCCUGCACCUCCACCUUUAGUCCUGCCUCUGCUCUCUGUGAAUGUGUGGAUUUUGUAAGCUCUCCCUGUAGUGUACGAUGCAUCCAGAUAUGCAGAUUUCUUCCUGUAUUCUGAAGGUGUCUCUAAACUGCAUGCGUCCUGCAAUGGAUUGACGUCCCUUCCAGGAUAUAGUCUUGCCUUGUCCUAUAAUUGCUAGGAUGGGCUCCAGGUCCCAGCAACCCCGUGCCAGAAACACGGGACUCUGGAGCAAGUCUCCGAAUGACACAUGGAGAGGAGCAUGAGGCUCAGUGAGGGAGGCGGGUUGACAGGCUGCCAGCGUACGUGGCCCCGCACCACAUGUUUAGCUGGGCAGGGAGCUUGGCCAUUGUCCAGGCACAUCUGUACGCAAUCCCACAGAACUGGCAGUUCAGCUGCAGAGGCCGAGCGGUUGGAGAGGGAGAGCGGCACUUUCUCAGACCACAAGAACCUGCUUUUUCUGCUCCCCAGACGGUCCUGGACUGGCAGCCCAAAGACGUAAUCCUGGCAAAGCAGUGGUCCGGCGAAACCAGUCAAGAACGGUGGGGGGGGGAGGGCUGUCUGGCUUGUUUAAAAGGUUCCAGUUUCAGUGUGUGAGCCUGCAGUGGUGCCUUUCAGAACUGCCCUUCAAAAUGGCUUUGAUGAUAAGAGCAGAUCUCCACGGCUGAUAGAAAAAGACAAUAAGAUGCCUCUCCUUUAAGACAAUAAGAUGCCUCUCCUUUAAGACAAUAAGAUGCCUCUCCUUUAAGACAAUAAGAUGCCUCUCCUUUAAGACAAUAAGAUGCCUCUCCUUUAAGACAAUAAGAUGCCUCUCCUUUAAGACAAUAAGAUGCCUCUCCUUUAAGACAAUAAGAUGCCUCUCCUUUAAGACAAUAAGAUGCCUCUUCUUUAAGACAAUAAGAUGCCUCUCCUUUAAGACAAUAAGAUGCCUCUCCUUUAAGACAAUAAGAUGCCUCUCCUUUAAGACAAUAAGAUGCCUCUUCUUUAAGACAAUAAGAUGCCUCUCCUUUAAGACAAUAAGAUGCCUCUCCUUUAAGAGAUGAAGAGGCUGUGCAGCCGGUGGCUUGGAGGCUGACGACGAAAGCAGUUUCUGCAUAGACUUUCCCAGCUCGAUCCCUCCAGAACAUGCUGUCCUGCACAAGUCGCAAAACGCCACCCAGCUACAGUCUAACAGUCUUUUGCAAGUAUUAUAUUUCUUGCAUAAACAAGUGAAGGUUGAGCCCCCACCCUGUUCAUAUCAUGGCUGAUCUGGGCCAGAUUUAAGGCCCAAAGGUCUAAAGGAGGAAAUACAUACUGCAGUGCAGACCUGUGAUGUUUAACAUGUCAGGAAUGGGGACAGCAGAAAGCAUGGCGGCUAAAGAAGUGAACUUUCAAAGCAAAUGUUGCUGGCUAGACAUUGCUGCUGUACGCAUGUCCAGACUAUGGCUCUCAUCCCCGUCACCUUCCAUACAGUGACACCGCCAUCCUGGACCUCUAGCUCACACGGCCUGGAAGAAGCAGAUCCAUGCAGCGUGCACAUGGGCUGUCCGGCUUACAUCACCGACUGGAACGAUCCCGAGAAUCCAGCGGCAACAUUCCCAAA